AUAUAGACUUCAAACGAUAGAUUAAAAACAGUGACAAAUUGUAGGACUAAAGGAAGGGGGAUCCAGAUCGAUUCAUUCACCAGAGAUCAGUACUGAUGAGCUCUCUGUGACAAACAUAUAUCCUCCUCUUUUUCCGAUUCUAAUAACGCAAACGGUAUAUCGCCCAGUCUGUAGUUCGCUCAGACAAAGUAGUGCUAAAAAAGAGAAAAUUUGAGACAUUUCGUACAUGGAAUUCAGGCAGUCGUUAAUCUGCCAGCUGACGAGGGCGAUACGGGGCGAAAUUAAAACGGGGGCGAAUAUUUCCCUGCACACACUUAUAUAAUUAGAUAUGGAUGUCAAACGAUAGAUUAAACUAAAUGUUAAAACAUGGUUUUUGUAUUGCAAUUAAAAAAUGAAACUUGAUAUGAUGGCAUGUCUCAUUAUAAUCAUAAAUUUUAAGAAAAAUUAUUAGCCUAUAUAUCCGUAUGCAUAUAUACUACGACAUUUUUAAAAAUGCUUAAAAGCAACUUGUAAAGCAUGCUAUUGUCCAUUAUUAUAUCUAUGUAAAUAGAUUGUUAGUAUCUUUUAAAAAUGACUAGUAUAAGAAUUUUUGUUACAUGUUCUUUACCAAAAUAAGUACAAUAUUAGACCUUAUAUAUACUGUCACAUUUUCACAUUGAUAUGAACAUAGUAAACAAGGGCUCCAGGAACACUCGAAGAGGCUUGCGGUUUAACUAUUAAAAAUGCAUGGCAAGAUUUAAUAUUUUAAAGAGAUUGUUAUUAAUUUUUAUUUUUGGGAAAAAUAUAUACAAAUUAAAACGCGAUUUUCAAACAAAUUAUGGGUCUCUUUAUUAAAGUAUGAAUUGGUUUUAAUAUGUUUAAAAUAUAUAAUUUUUCUCUUGUCAAUGUGUGUAUCUCAUUUUAAAAAUGUGAUUUACUUGGUUAGGAAGAAAAUUGGACAAACAUCUUGAAUUACAUGUAAUUUUGCAAUGUUUUAAAAUAGAUAUCGCUUUACUAUGUUGUUAGUAGUUUACCUAUAUUAAACAAUGUAGAACGUAAAUAAAUCUUAGUUGAAAUUG
rnacentral:sRNA from 1 species